AUGUAAUUAGUUAACCUACAAUGAGGUCAGUGUAGAGUGGGCUCUUAAUCCAGUACAGCUAGUGUCCUUAUAAGAAGAGGGAAGCCCAGAGGGAUGCAUGGAGAACACUGUGUGACCACAGAGACAGAGAUCGAAGCCACACAGCUGCAAGCCAAGGAAAGCCAUGAGUUGCCAUCAAACACCAGCAGCUGAAGAGGCGAGGAAGGAUCCUCCCCUAGAGCCUUCCAAGAGAGCAUGGCCUUGCCUGCACCUGGAUUUCCAGCUUCUACCCUCCAGAACUGUGAGAUGGAAAUGUAUGUCCUCAGGGUCCCCAGGGUGACAAGUCUGGAUAGAACCAUUGAGUCAUAGCAUUUGGACAGAGACCUCAAGUGAAGGAUUUUUUUCUUCAGUUCUUAGAGGUGCCAUUCAAAGCCCCACGGAAAGUCUCACACAGAACACAACGAGCCAUUAAAUGGAACAUUGAAGAUGAAUAUUUAACCGCACGGAAAAGCAUUCACCAUAUAUGGUUAAAGGAAAAGGGUUUGAAAACAUUUUGUAUAAUAAAGUCCAAUUUUUAAGUAAA